CAGAGGGGAAUAUUGUUUGCUGCACUGCUGUCGGAGACUAAUUCAAAGGAAUCUCCAAUAUUCAUCGUUUUACAGUGGUUUUCUAACAAAGAACUGGAAGAUUACCGUAUUCUGUUUAAUUGAAACUUGUGGAUAGCGGAAUAAAAAACAAUUUUCUCUACAUGGGCACCGUUAAUUAAUUACAGCAAUUACACCAAAAUGCAAAGAAAAGGAGAAGCAAAUACUGUAAUAGCCUCAGCAAAAAAUAAACUGCAAUACUUGGGGUUUUUAA